GAAUUAAAAUUUAAAGAGAAAGAAUUAUGAAAACAAAGAAAUAUUUAAUAGCUGGAGCCUUGAUGUUGGCAAUGUC
rnacentral:snoRNA from 1 species